rnacentral:rRNA from 1 species
GAACGAGAAAGUGGAGCAAUCCAUGAGUAAAGUGGCGACCGGNGUGAGUAACACGUGACUAACCUACCUCCGAGUGGGGAAUAACUCCGGGAAACCGGGGCUAAUACCGCAUAACAUCGCAAGAUCAAAGCAGCAAUGCGCUUGGAGAGGGGGUCGCGGCUGAUUAGCUCGUUGGCGGGGUAACGGCCCACCAAGGCGAAGAUCGGUAUCCGGCCUGAGAGGGCGCACGGACACACUGGAACUGAAACACGGUCCAGACUCCUACGGGAGGCAGCAGUGGGGAAUUUUGCGCAAUGGGGGAAACCCUGACGCAGCAACGCCGCGUGGAGGAUGAAGCCCUUUGGGGCGUANACUCCUUUCGACUCGGACGAUAAUGACGGUACGAGUGGAAGAAGCACCGGCUAACUCUGUG